GAUGAACGCUGGCGGCGUGCCUAAUACAUGCAAGUCGAGCGAACAGAUGAGGAGCUUGCUCCUCUGACGUUAGCGGCGGACGGGUGAGUAACACGUGGAUAACCUACCUAUAAGACUGGGAUAACUUCGGGAAACCGGAGCUAAUACCGGAUAAUAUAUUGAACCGCAUGGUUCAAUAGUGAAAGACGGUUUUGCUGUCACUUAUAGAUGGAUCCGCGCCGCAUUAGCUAGUUGGUAAGGUAACGGCUUACCAAGGCAACGAUGCGUAGCCGACCUGAGAGGGUGAUCGGCCACACUGGAACUGAGACACGGUCCAGACUCCUACGGGAGGCAGCAGUAGGGAAUCUUCCGCAAAGGGCGAAAGCCUGAUGGAGCAACGCCGCGUGAGUGAUGAAGGUCUCCGGAUCGUAAAACUCUGUUAUUAGGGAAGAACAAAUGUGUAAGUAACUAUGCACGUCUUGACGGUACCUAAUCAGAAAGCCACGGCUAACUACGUG
rnacentral:rRNA from 1 species